rnacentral:rRNA from 1 species
AAUAAGGACUGGGCAAGACCGGUGCCAGCCGCCGCGGUAAUACCGGCAGUCCGAGUGAUGGCCGCUGUUAUUGGGCCUAAAGCGUCCGUAGCUUGCCGUGAAAGUCUAUCGGGAAAUCGACGUGCUCAACGCGUCGGGCUUCCGGUGGAAAACUGCACGGCUUGGGGCCGGAAGACUCAGCGGGUACGUCCGGGGUAGGAGUGAAAUCCUGUAAUCCUGGACGGACCACCAAUGGCGAAAGCACGCUGAGAAGCCGGACCCGACAGUGAGGGACGAAAGCCAGGGUCUCGAACCGGAUUAGAUACCCGGGUAGUCCUGGCCGUAAACGAUGCUCGUUAGGUCUGCCGUGCACUACGAGUGCACGGUGAGCCGAAGUGAAGACGAUAAACGAGCCGCCUGGGAAGUACGUCCGCAAGGAUGAAACUUAAAGGAAUUGGCGGGGGAGCACCACAACCGGAGGAGCCUGCGGUUUAAUUGGACUCAACGCCGGACAUCUCACCAGUCCCGACAGUAAUAACGACGGUCAGGUUGACGACUUUACCCGAGUUACUGAGAGGAGGUGCAUGGCCGCCGUCAGCUCGUACCGUGAGGCAUCCUGUUAAGUCAGGUAACGAGCGAGACCCGCAUCCGUAGUUGCCAGCGAUACCCUGAGGUAGUCGGGUACACUACGGAGACCGCCGACGCUAAGUCGGAGGAAGGAACGGGCAACGGUAGGUCAGUAUGCCCCGAAUGGACUGGGCAACACGCGGGCUACAAUGGUCGAGACAAUGGGUCGCGAUACCGAGAGGUAGAGCUAAUCUCCCAAACUCGGUCGUAGUUCGGAUUGUGGGCUGAAACUCGCCCACAUGAAGCUGGAUUCGGUAGUAAUCGCGUGUCAGAAGCGCGCGGUGAAUACGUCCCUGCUCCUUGCACACACCGCCCGUCAAAGCACCCGA